UUUCCGUAGGUGAACCUGCGGAAGGAUCAUUAUUGUAUAACCCAGGUGCGAGGGCUUUCGCUGACCCCUAAGGUCGUGCACGCCCGAGUGCCCUCACCCCCAUCCAUCUCACCCCCAUGUGCCCCACCGCGUCUGUCCCCCUUUUGCUUGUUCGGUUGUGGGCUUACUUUUUCACCCAAACUUUCUAUCCACUGCAGAAUUUAUUUUUUUUUUUUUCGUUCACUCCAUCCAUCCACCUUUCAACCACCGAUCUCUUCCCUCUCGCAUCGAUGCAGAACG
rnacentral:misc_RNA from 1 species